UGCUUUUUCUUAGGAGAGGGACGGGAGGCAACGGUGUACCUUUCUCGGCGGCUUCAUGUAGGAUCUGGGUUUCUCGAUCCACUUCGAUCUUCUCUCCUUUCUUCUGUUUCUUUCUCUUAAUCCUUCUUUGAUGGAGCUAGGGUUUGAGGAGAUCUCUUCUAGUAUCGCCGAUCGAGGUGGAUCUGAUACCGUAUGCGGGCGAUUUGUUCGUGUUAAUAUUUUUGGCCAACGGGUAUUGGGAUCUUUCGGCAGAUCGGGAGUUGUUGGGGGCAAAGAUCGUUGCAAGGUGGAGGGAUUGAGUUUUGCGCCCUGGUUUGCACGCUUGACAACGAGAGAGAGCACGCUGGUCGGCGCUUAUGGGACGACUGCCAUGACUGUUUACUAGCGUGCUCUUUCUCGUAGUCAACCGUUUUUCUUUACCAGGGCUGCAGAAUCACCAGCGUCCAACGGAGGACCACUGGGCUGUGCUCUUAUUCUAGAUUUGAUGGCAUGACUGUUGGGCUAAGCCGUGAGGCCAUGAGCCCUAAGAUCGGGUGAUCUUCUAAAAGAAAGGGACAAUCAAACACUUGGGACUGCAACGUGGCAUAGUGGACUCUAGUACUUAGACCGGGAGGGGAUGGACCCAGGUUUGACAUUGAUGGUAGAGAAUGCUAGAGUAGGAGAAUCUAAGAGGGGUGUGGAGGAUGUCUUGUUGCUAUAUCAUAGACGCA